GAGCAGGGGAAGGAGAUGACACAUUGCACUGGGGAUGGGGUGGGGGAGGGAGGCUUAUCCCCUCCCCUCCGGUUUCCUUCAGGAUGAUUAUUUCCAGGCCCUUUUCUCUCGGUCGGGUCCUUCGCCGCGAUGCUGUCGGGGAAGUUUUAUUAUUAUCUGGGAAAUGAUGCCGCUUUCGGUGAUGGAUAAUUCGUAGUAAAGCCGCUGCUGCGGUCUUGGUUUUUUUUUUUUUUUUUUUUUCCUCUCCUCUCCUCUCUCCUUCUUCCCUCCUCCUUCCUUUCAUUCGUCUUUGUGGCCCGAGCAGCGCCGGGAAAAUUCCGUUUCUUCUGCAACUUGUUAUUCUGGAGCCGGGCCUGCCCCCCUCGCCCUGGGGCUGCCCUUCCCGCACAGGAGGAGGUGGAGAGCUGAAGGGAAUAACUUUCUCAAAACUGCACUGGUGUUAAAGAGGAAACCAGAAACUAAAGGCACUAGAAUCAGCAAAGACACUUCUAGAGAAAGUGGAGAAGGUAGAGAAUGGAGCUGCAGACUCUACAGGAGGCUCUGAAAGUGGAAAUUCAGGUUCACCAGGUAAUUUGUAUUCUUUCAUGCUUUAUACUUUCAAGUAAUAGCAGCAUUAGUAUUGCUGAUAGUAUUAUUACUAAUGGUAGCAUUAAGUAAUAGCUCUACAACUAUAGUAAUAAUUGUUUUAUAAGCUUGAAACUACUCCAGAAUUUUAUACUCUGCAUUUUGACCCCACCACCUGUUGUUUUUUAGAAAAAUCUACGUAUCAGGCUGUGGGUGGGGAUUUUUUAAUUUUUUUUUUAUUUUUUUUAAUAUUUUGUAGCAGUGAUAAAAACAUUCUGAAAACUCUUUAAGUUCAGCAACUUCUGUGUGGAAGGUUUUUCUGACGUUCUGAAGCCAACUUCAGUAUUCAGUUGGCAAUGGAAGAAUACAGUGGAGGAACUUUCAGGCAAAAUGUGUAUGGUGCUGCAUAGUCUCAUCUGGUUCUUCUCUUCUGGAGACUUCGUUUAGUACCUUCUAAACUUAUAUAGUUUUGCUAACCAAAACCUUGUAGUGCGUGGG
rnacentral:lncRNA from 1 species